rnacentral:rRNA from 1 species
AAGUCGUAACAAGGUUUCCGUAGGUGAACCUGCGGAAGGAUCAUUACUGAGUGAGGGCCCUCUGAGUCCAACCUCCCACCCGUGUUUAUUGUACCUUGUUGCUUCGGUGCGCCCGCCUCACGGCCGCCGGGGGGCUUCUGCCCCCGGGUCCGCGCGCACCGGAGACACCAUUGAACUCUGUCUGAAGUUGCAGUCUGAGCAUAAACUAAAUAAGUUAAAACUUUCAACAACGGAUCUCUUGGUUCCGGCAUCGAUGAAGAACGCAGCGAAAUGCGAUAACUAAUGUGAAUUGCAGAAUUCAGUGAAUCAUCGAGUCUUUGAACGCACAUUGCGCCCCCUGGUAUUCCGGGGGGCAUGCCUGUCCGAGCGUCAUUGCUGCCCUCAAGCACGGCUUGUGUGUUGGGCUCCGUCCCCCCGGGGACGGGUCCGAAAGGCAGCGGCGGCACCGAGUCCGGUCCUCGAGCGUAUGGGGCUUUGUCACCCGCUCUGUAGGCCCGGCCGGCGCCAGCCGACAACCAAUCAUCCUUUUCAGGUUGACCUCGGAUCAGGUAGGGAUACCCGCUGAACUUAA